rnacentral:rRNA from 1 species
UACGGAGGGGACUAGCGUUGUUCGGAAUUACUGGGCGUAAAGCGUGCGCAGGCGGCUAUCCAAGUCAGUGGUGAAAGCCCGGAGCUCAACUCCGGAAUUGCCAUUGAAACUGUUUAGCUUGAGGACGAGAGAGGUGAGUGGAAUUCCCAGUGUAGAGGUGAAAUUCGUAGAUAUUGGGAAGAACACCGGUGGCGAAGGCGGCUCACUGGCUCGUUUCUGACGCUCAGGCACGACAGCGUGGGGAUCAAACAGG